rnacentral:rRNA from 1 species
GACGGAGGGUGCAAGCGUUGCUCGGAAUCAUUGGGCGUAAAGGGUGCGUAGGCGGCUUUUUAAGUCUGACGUGAAAGCCCAAGGCUCAGCCUUGGAAGUGCGCCAGAAACUGAAAGGCUAGAGUGCCGGAGGGGAGAGUGGAAUUCCUGGUGUAGCGGUGAAAUACGUAGAGAUCUGGAGGAACACCGAUGGCGAAGGCAGCCUUCUGGGCCAACACUGACGCUCAUGCACGAAAGCGUGGGGAGCAAACAGG